AACGAACGCUGGCGGCGUGUCUUAAGCAUGCAAGUCGGGCGGCAAGGGCCAGCAAUGGCCCCUAGAGCGGCGGACUGGUGAGUAACACGUGGGUGAUCUACCCCGGGGUUGGGGAUAGCCAUUAGAAAUAGUGGGUAAUACCGAAUACGCUCCAUUGGCUGCGGCCAGUGGAGGAAAGGCGCCACGGCGCCGACCUGGGAUGAGCCCGCGUCCCAUUAGCUAGUUGGUGAGGUAACGGCCCACCAAGGCGAUGAUGGGUAGGCGGCCUGAGAGGGUGUACGCCCACAUUGGGACUGAGAUACGGCCCAAACUCCUACGGGAGGCAG
rnacentral:rRNA from 1 species